GAGACUCUGUGCGCGUGCAUAUCAAUAAGCGGAGGAAAAGAAACUAACAAGGAUUCCCUUAGUAACGGCGAGUGAAGCGGGAAGAGCUCAAAUUUGAAAUCUUCAAGGUUCUACCUUGACGAAUUGUAGUUUAUAGAAGUGUUUUCUGUUAGUAGAGUGGCAAAAGUUCUUUGGAAUAGGACAUCAUAGAGGGUGAGAAUCCCGUAUUUGGUCAUUCUUUCUAGCUUUGUGAUACACUUUCAACGAGUCGGAUUGUUUGGGAAUACAGUCCAAAAUGGGUGGUAAAUUUCAUCUAAAGCUAAAUAUUGGCGAGAGACCGAUAGCGUACAAGUACCGUGAGGGAAAGAUGAAAAGAACUUUGAAAAGAGAGUUAAACAGUACGUGAAAUUGUCAAAAGGGAAGCGUUUGACACCAGUGUUGUUUUUCCGAAAAUCAAUUACGAAUGUUUUAUUUUUGAGAAGUUAUGACUUCAUCGGCUUGCUUCUUUCUUUAUGAAACUUUCUUAAUGCACUUUUCGGUUAACAAGUCAACAUCAAUUUCUUUUGUUGUAAAAGGGUAUGAGGAAGGUGGCUUUCUUUUCGGAGAAAGUGUUUAUAGCCUUGUACCUCUGCAAUCGGAGAGAUUGAGGUCUGCAGCGUAGAUCCUUCGGGGUUAGAUACAUUUGUGCUAAGUUAUAGCUUUUCAUAGACAACUUGUUGACUAUGUUUAGUCUUGUAGCUUACUCGCUUAUGCUAUUUUACCUACGCUUAGGAUGUUGAGUCGUAGAGCACGCAG
rnacentral:rRNA from 1 species